UCGAGAAUCUUCCGCAAUGGACGAAAGUCUGACGGAGCGACGCCGCGUGGAGGAUGAAGUGCUUCGGCAUGUAAACUCCUUUUGCCAGGGAAAAAGUUAUUGAUUGUACCUGGAGAAUAAGAGGUUGCUAAACUCGUGCCAGCAGCAGCGGUAAUACGAGUGCCUCGAGCGUUAUCCGGAAUUAUUGGGCGUAAAGGGUGUGUAGGCGGUAGUGUUAGUCUUGUGUUAAAUCUAUUGGCUCAACCGAUAG
rnacentral:rRNA from 1 species